rnacentral:rRNA from 1 species
AACGGAGCUUAGAGAGCUUGCUUUUUAAGCUUAGUGGCGGACGGGUGAGUAACACGUGAGCAACCUGCCUUUCAGAGGGGGAUAACGUUUGGAAACGAACGCUAAUACCGCAUAACGUAGUCGAUCGGCAUCGAUUGACUACCAAAGGAGCAAUCCGCUGAAAGAUGGGCUCGCGUCCGAUUAGAUAGUUGGCGGGGUAACGGCCCACCAAGUCGACGAUCGGUAGCCGGACUGAGAGGUUGAUCGGCCACAUUGGGACUGAGACACGGCCCAGACUCC